AUCUUUUUGUACUGUAUUUGCAUGUUCCAGGAUAAUUUGGUGGCAAAAGAGCUACGUCGUUUCUCACUAGACCAACAGACAAUAGUAGUGAUACCUUUGCAUUUAUAUAGUACCAUAUUUACUCAUCUGUAUACACUGUUCCUUUCAUUCCUCACACCACAAGUAUCUAACGGCCGGAUAGGUCCAGUCCAGCCGAGACACAUAUAUUCUAGUCCAACAUACUCCCUCCAUCCAAAAAAGCUUGUCCCAAGCUUUUUCGGAUGGAGGGAAUAUAUAGUCCAGUCACACAUGCUCUAACGUGAUUUCAUGAGAGACAGUUAGGCCAGCAACGGUAUAUCCAUAAAGAAUAGCGACAGCUAAAGGAAACCAUUCAGCAGGUAAGAAUGAGAUAGACUUUUCAGUGCCAGGCAACCAUUGAGCUGUAGAGAAGUGGAACAACAUUCAUGGUACUGCUAUUGUUAAUCGAAAGAACUUUCUUUUGUUAACAUGGUACCCACUAACGUGUGCAUAUGCAUUUUUCUCCUGUAGUCCUAGAGGGAUAAAGACACAUAUAAUUAUGAUGGAGGUGACAGGCCUGAAAAUAUCUAUUUUUUUAAUCUUGAAGGCAGUACGAGAUGCCCUAAUGACAUAUAUACAGUACUAACAAGAAUAUGGGGGCUUUCAUAACUUGAGGUAUUUACCUAGAUCCUUGAGAUGCUAUUCGUAUUGGCCUGAAUGCAGUUGAAUUCUGAAUCAUAAACAAGCUGGGAGAUUUGUCUUCCACAUAGUAGUUUUUAGUGCAUGCUCGGAGAACAAGAUAAGAGGAGAGGCUUGAAUCUUGAGAUGACAAGGGUAGUCACCUGCUGCGACUAAAGGAAGGAGGUCAAUGAAGCAAAAUGCAUGAAAAGGAAGGAGCAGCGCAACAGGGACGAUGUUGUCGGCAGCGCUUUGGAAGGAUUUGCUCCAGAGAAGUUACGGUAGUCGGCCAUCGCCUAGGGGAAGCGGGGAGGAUGUCGUUUGAAACGCCUGGGUCUAGAGGAGUGUGUCUAGGUGGUGGCCGAGGAUGGCGACGAGCAAUUGAGUUGGGCAUUUGUCAACGUGUUGGUGUCGUUGCUCAGGGUACCAACACCCUUGUUUUGACCCAAUGUUUCUCGGCUAGCUGUGCAUGGCUGGGACUGUUUCGUGCAUAUAGGGGACGACUCAUGCCAUCCACUUCCAAAGCAAUAAGGUAGCCAUCCAUGUCACUGUCGCUUGCUGUUAGUUUUUUUGGAUUCCAUAGGUGUUUCUUAAUGCAUCAAUCAUUUUCAAUUAGGACGGGAGUCUGAAAAAUGUUGUAAGAUUAUCGCCAUUUUUUUAAACUA